GGCAGCUUGGCACAGCGGCGGCCCGAUGAAUACGUCAGCGGCGAAUAGUAGUGGCGGCAGCUUGGCACAGCGGCGGCCCGAUGAAUAUGUCAGCGGCGAGUAUAGUGGCGGCAGCUUUGGCACAGCGGCGGCCCGAUGAAUACGUCAGCGGCGAGUAGUAGUGGCGGCUGCUUGGCACAGCGGCGGCCCGAUGAAUACGUCAGCGGCGAAUAUAGUGGCGGCAGCUUUGGCACAGCGGCGGCCCGAUGAAUACGUCAGCGGCGAGUAGUAGUGGCGGCUGCUUGGCACAGCGGCGGCCCGAUGAAUACGCGACGACGAAUAGGGUGGCGGCGGCCUGGCACAGCAGCAGCCCGAUGAGUACGUCAGUCGCCGUCAACGCAGCCCGAAGAAUAGGGAGUAUUACUACAACCCUCACUUGACCCUGCGUUCAGUCGCCGUCAACACAGCCC